rnacentral:rRNA from 1 species
UACGUAGGGUGCGAGCGUUGUCCGGAAUUAUUGGGCGUAAAGAGCUUGUAGGCGGUUUGUCGCGUCUGCUGUGAAAAUCCGGGCUCAACCCCGGACUUGCAGUGGGUACGGCAGACUAGAGUGUGGUAGGGAGACUGGAAUUCCUGGUGUAGCGGUGAAAUGCGCAGAUAUCGGGAGGAACACCGAUGGCGAAGCAGCACUCUGGCCGUACUGACGCUGAGGAGCGAAGCGUGGGAGCGACAGG